rnacentral:rRNA from 1 species
AGAGUUUGAUCCUGGCUCAGAUUGAACGCUGGCGGUAUGCCUAACACAUGCAAGUCGAACGAGGUAGCAAUACCUAGUGGCGGACGGGUGAGGAAUACGUAGGGAUCUGCCCUCGAGCUCGGGAUAACCAGUCGAAAGACUGGCUAAUACCGGAUAUGACCACAAGAUCUGAGGAUCAAGGGGUAAAAGGUUUUUCGCUUGAGGAUGAGCCCAUGUGGGAUUAGCUAGUUGGUGUAGGUAACGGCUCACCAAGGCGACGAUCCCUAACUGGUCUUAGAGGAUGAUCAGUCACACUGGAACUGAGACACGGUCCAGACUCCUACGGGAGGCAGCAGUAGGGAAUAUUGCACAAUGGAGGAAACUCUGAUGCAGCGACGCCGCGUGAGUGAUGAAGGCCUUCGGGUCGUAAAGCUCUGUCGUAUGGGACUAACAAAAUGAAGGUACCAUGCAAGAAAGGAUCGGCUAACUUCGUG